rnacentral:rRNA from 1 species
GAUGAACGCUGGCGGCGUGCUUAAUACAUGCAAGUCGAACGGGAAACCUUUUACUGAAGCUUCGGCAGAAUUUGCUGGCUUCUAGUGGCGGACGGGUGAGUAACGCGUGGGUCACCUGCCAUAUACAGGGAGCUAAAAGUCAGACCUCGCAGCUAAUAACGUAUCAUCGCACAGAGCUAAAUGGCUCAAUGUGAUCACUUCCGGUGGUAUAAGAUGGACCUGCGUUGGAUUAUCUGGUUGGUGGGGUAGCGGCCCACCAAGGAGACGAUACAUAGCCGGCCUGGGAGGGUGAACGACCACAUUGGGACUGAGACACGGCGCAGACUCCUACGGGAGGCAGCAGGGGUGAAUAUUGCACGAUGGGUGAAAGCCUGAUGCUGCGACGCCGCGUGAAGGAGGAAGUAUCGCGGUAUGUAAGCGUCUAUCAGCAGGGAAGAUAAUGACGGUACCUUACUAAAAAGCCCCGGCUAACUACGUG